rnacentral:tRNA from 2 species
GAUCAAGUGGCGGAACUGGUAGACGCACCAUAGAUUAAAUGGAUUAGCGGAGGAAUUAAUCACGAUCCGAGGACAGCGCCCGGUAAAACGCGGCGACGAUGCUAAUGCAGGUUCGAGUCCUGCCUUGAUCA